CAGCCGCCGCGGUAAAACCAGCACCUCAAGUGGUCAGGAUGAUUAUUGGGCCUAAAGCAUCCGUAGCCGGCUCUGUAAGUUUUCGGUUAAAUCUGUAUGCUCAACAUACAGGCUGCCGGGAAUACUGCAAAGCUAGGGAGUGGGAGAGGUAGGCGGUACUCGGUAGGAAGGGGUAAAAUCCUUUGAUCUAUUGAUGACCACCUGUGGCGAAGGCGGUCUACCAGAACACGUCCGACGGUGAGGGAUGAAAGCUGGGGAGCAAACCGGAUUAGAUACCCGGGUAGUCCCAGCUGUAAACUAUGCAAACUCGGUGAUGCAUUGGCUUGAUGCCAAUGCAGUGCCGCAGGGAAGCCGUUAAGUUUGCCGCCUGGGAAGUACGUACGCAAGUAUGAAACUUAAAGGAAUUGGCGGGGGAGCAC
rnacentral:rRNA from 2 species